AACGAACGCUGGCGGCAGGCCUAACACAUGCAAGUCGAACGCUGUAGCAAUACAGAGUGGCAGACGGGUGAGUAACGCGUGGGAACAUGCCCUUCGGUUCGGAAUAACUCAGGGAAACUUGAGCUAAUACCGGAUACGCCCUUAGGGGGAAAGAUUUAUUGCCGAAGGAUUGGCCCGCGUCCGAUUAGCUAGUUGGUGAGGUAAUGGCUCACCAAGGCGACGAUCGGUAGCUGGUCUGAGAGGAUGAUCAGCCACACUGGGACUGAGACACGGCACAGACUCCUAGGGGAGGCAGCAGUGGGGAAUAUUGGACAAUGGGCGCAAGCCUGAUCCAGCCAUGCCGCGUGAGUGAUGAAGGCCCUAGGGUUGUAAAGCUCUUUCGCCAGGGACGAUAACGACGGUACCUGGAGAAAAAGCCCCGGCUAACUUCGUGCCAGCCGCCGCGGUAAUAC
rnacentral:rRNA from 1 species